GAGUUUGAUCUUGGCUCAGAUUGAACGCUGGCGGCAGGCCUAACACAUGCAAGUCGAGCGGAUGACGGGAGCUUGCUCCUUGAUUCAGCGGCGGACGGGUGAGUAAUGCCUAGGAAUCUGCCUGGUAGUGGGGGACAACGUUUCGAAAGGAACGCUAAUACCGCAUACGUCCUACGGGAGAAAGCAGGGGACCCUCGGGCCUUGCGCUAUCAGAUGAGCCUAGGUCGGAUUAGCUAGUUGGUGGGGUAAUGGCUCACCAAGGCGACGAUCCGUAACUGGUCUGAGAGGAUGAUCAGUCACACUGGAACUGAGACACGGUCCAGACUCCUACGGGAGGCAGCAGUGGGGAAUAUUGGACAAUGGGCGAAAGCCUGAUCCAGCCAUGCCGCGUGUGUGAAGAAGGUCUUCGGAUUGUAAAGCACUUUAAGUUGGGAGGAAGGGCAGUAAGUUAAUACCUUGCUGUUUUGGCGUUACCGACAGAAUAAGCACCGGCUAACUCUGUGCCAGCAGCCG
rnacentral:rRNA from 1 species